UUAAUGGAGAUAUAUAUAUAUUAUUUUCCAUCCAUUUUUUCUUCCAAAAAGAAAAAACUCCAUCAAGAGUAAAAAAAAGGCACGUAUCACGACGAACUUUUCUUUCCUUCUUCAUCUGGUUCUUAACUUCUUCCCAAAAAAUCCGCUGCUCUUUUUUUCCAGAUGAAUUCCCUCGAGCAACGUCACUUUAAUUCCAUAUACGACCACCAUCGUUCAAACUUCAUUCAAACUCCUCCAACCAGAAAAAAAAAAGUGUUCAAGUCAACUCCAAUUGACCGAAAGGAUCAAGCCUGGGCUUAAGGAAGAUUUGGUGAAGUAGAAAGUAUAGGUAGCCAGCUAUAAAUCAGGCCCAUGGAAGGAUUACGUGAACGUUGUUGGCAAUGAUGGCGCGUACCCCGCCGAAUUCCCCGGUCAGUAAAUGUCAUCGUAAAAAUAUAAUCGCGCUAAUGAUAAGCAAAUGGAAUACAAAACGCAGGUACAUGGAGGCUAACGAUCGUCAAAAGUCAGGAAGCUCGGUCGUAAAUUCGUCUAAGACAUUUAUAGACGGACACCUCGCGGCCGGAAAUUCUUCCUAGACUCUCUAGCCGAGAGGAGGUCUUUGCGACCAGACCUAACCUAAUCUCACGAGUGAUCGUUAAUUUGACAACAGAGUUUCUCGAACUGUGUAAGAAUUGGAUCGUAACGUCCAGGCCUGUCUCGUUAAUUGUUUGAACGAUUUAUCGAGUUGGUUGGACAAUGGUAAGAUUGUACCAAAGGUUACUUGGCUGCGAUCCAAAUACUGAUCCUAAAAGCUGUCUUGGAACGUACUGAUUCCAUGAUUAUUUGGCACAAAGAAAGUGGUCUUGGUUAUGGUUUUUUUUUCAUUUAAAGAAGAAAGGAAGAAAA